AGAGUUUGAUCCUGGCUCAGGAUGAACGCCGGCGGUGUGCCUAAUACAUGCAAGUCGUACGCACUGCCCCAACUGAUUGAUGGUGCUUGCACCUGAUUGACGUUGGAUCACCAGUGAGUGGCGGACGGGUGAGUAACACGUAGGUAACCUGCCCCGGAGCGGGGGAUAACAUUUGGAAACAGAUGCUAAUACCGCAUAACAACAAAAGCCGCAUGGCUUUUGUUUGAAAGAUGGCUUUGGCUAUCACUCUGGGAUGGACCUGCGGUGCAUUAGCUAGUUGGUAAGGUAACGGCUUACCAAGGCAAUGAUGCAUAACCGAGUUGAGAGACUGAUCGGCCACAAUGGAACUGAGACACGGUCCAUACUCCUACGGGAGGCAGCAGUAGGGAAUCUUCCACAAUGGGCGCAAGCCUGAUGGAGCAACACCGCGUGAGUGAAGAAGGGUUUCGGCUCGUAAAGCUCUGUUGUUGGAGAAGAACGUGCGUGAGAGUAACUGUUUACGCAGUGACGGUAUCCAACCAGAAAGUCACGGCUAACUACGUGCCAGCAGCCGCGGUAAUACGUAGGUGGCAAGCGUUAUCCGGAUUUAUUGGGCGUAAAGCGAGCGCAGGCGGUUGCUUAGGUCUGAUGUGAAAGCCUUCGGCUUAACCGAAGAAGUGCAUCGGAAACCGGGCGACUUGAGUGCAGAAGAGGACAGUGGAACUCCAUGUGUAGCGGUGGAAUGCGUAGAUAUAUGGAAGAACACCAGUGGCGAAGGCGGCUGUCUGGUCUGCAACUGACGCUGAGGCUCGAAAGCAUGGGUAGCGAACAAGAUUAGAUACCCUGGUAGUCCAUGCCGUAAACG
rnacentral:rRNA from 1 species